GACAUUUCCAUCUAACGUCUUCUAUCAUCAUAACCGUACCAUUUUUGAGUGAAAGAAAUCUGAACCUGAUCUCACACGGCAAUAUCGCUUCUCUCCCUAAAAUUUCUCUCAAAUUUCAACUUCUUGCCGUCAUUCAUGAAUCACGAUUUGGUACUUUUAUUGAUUAGUUUUCCCAAUGUUCUCCUUUCUCACUCAAAUCGUCGUGGAUUAUAGCCUUGGUUUUCCGAUUUGAUUUUAUGUGUGACAAAACCUUCCAUGUCUAUUACGUUCGACCCAGUUCCUUUCUUUGAAGCUUACAACUGCAAGUAUCUAUUAUGACUUUAAUUCAGAGACAGAUGCUUUAGAAACAAUGCAGAUAGCCACCCCUCUGCUACCACAGGAUAUUGAAAAUUUUGAAUGACAAGGAACUAUCAGUAUAGUUAAACAAUUUCAAGUUUGAAGGUUCAAAGGAAGAGAAUUAUAAGUAUAAGGUGUCUCAGUGUAGCCUAUAUUUUGAUCUGAAACUAAUUUACAGAGAAGGCCUUGGCCUUUGAACUUUGGAUUCAGUUCCACUUAGUCAGCUUCCAUUCGUGCUGUAUUUAUUUUGGUUGUUUUGAGGUUGAUUUACCUUUGUAUUCUGACUGAUUAGGACGAGUUCAAAAAGCUUGAUUACCAGAAAGUUUAUGAAAAUGUGCAAAGCCCACCUACAUUCAUAUUUGAUGGCCAGAAUGUUGUAGAUGUUAACAAACUGAGGGAAAUUGGUUUAAUUGUUUAUUCCAUUGGCAAAGCACUAGACUCUUGGCUCUUGGCUCAAGGACAUGUCUGCAGUGGCUUAAAUGAGAAAGCACAAUCUAGAGCUGCGACCUUUAGGGUUGAGUUUGUUGGUAUUUCAGUGAGAAUGCCAGGUUCUGACAUAUUAUCAUGCUGUUCUUAUAGUUAAGGUUUCUGUUUUCUCUUGAUGUUACUUAUAUUUGAUCAGUUUUGUAUGCUAUUUUUCUAUUCUCCUGAUAAUCCCAUUUCAUUUCGUUCC